AGCAGCCGCGGUAAUUCCAGCUCCAAUAGCGUAUAUUAAAGUUGCUGCAGUUAAAAAGCUCGUAGUUGAAUUUCGGGAUCAAUAUGUUGGUCGUGCCUUGGUACGUACUGGCGUCAUUGGUUUCUACCUUCUGAAGAACCUCGAUGUCAUUAAUUUGGUGUCUUGGGGAAUCAGGACUGUUACUUUGAAAAAAUUAGAGUGUUUAAAGCAAGCUCACGCUUGAAUACAUUAGCAUGGAAUAAUGAAAUAGGACGUUUGAUUCUAUUUUGUUGGUUUCUAGGAUCGACGUAAUGAUUAAUAGGGAUAGUUGGGGGCAUUAGUAUUCAAUUGUCAGAGGUGAAAUUCUUGGAUUUAUUGAAGACUAACUACUGCGAAAGCAUUUGCCAAGGAUGUUUUCAUUAAUCAAGAACGAAAGUUAGGGGAUCGAAGACGAUCAGAUACCGUCGUAGUCUUAACCAUAAACUAUGCCGACUAGGGAUCGGAUGAUGUUAAUUUUUUAAUGACUCAUUCGGCGCCUUAC
rnacentral:misc_RNA from 1 species